UACAGAGGGUGCGAGCGUUGUUCGGAAUUAUUGGGCGUAAAGAGCUCGUAGGCGGCCUGUCGCGUCGGUUGUGAAAGCCCGGGGCUCAACCCCGAGUCUGCAGUCGAUACGGGCAGGCUAGAGUUCGGUAGGGGAGAUCGGAAUUCCUGGUGUAGCGGUGAAAUGCGCAGAUAUCAGGAGGAACACCGGUGGCGAAGGCGGAUCUCUGGGCCGACACUGACGCUGAGGAGCGAAAGCGUGGGGAGCGAACAGG
rnacentral:rRNA from 1 species